ACAAGAGGAACGAGAAAUAAGGUUACCCUUGUUCGUAUAUUUGACAAGCAUGGGCUAUAGUCGGAGAGUUGCUUCCCUUGUUAUCAUUGUUGCUUGUAUUCUUUGGCUCCUGGGUUCCCAACCGACCUUUUCGGCCGCAAGGGCUCUUGCACGGGGGUUAAGCCCCUCCGUUUGCACCGUUGGGCCUAAUGGCGUUCCGUGGUGUCCGGGGGAUACAUACAGACCCACUGAGCCUGCUCCCAAGAUCCCUACCCCACCGUAAGUCAGCAUGGCUCCAGCGGAACAUGGCCACGGGCUACCGCGGUAUAGUACGCUUUCAAGGCAUCAUGGCACGUUCACAAUGGUCGCCCCUUCUAGAGCUUCUCUUCGUAUGUUGCUGUUGCUAUUGAGUUUUUUUUCCCCC
rnacentral:lncRNA from 1 species